CCGCAUGGUUCUAAAGUGAAAGAUGGUUUUGCUAUCACUUAUAGAUGGACCCGCGCCGUAUUAGCUAGUUGGUAAGGUAACGGCUUACCAAGGCGACGAUACGUAGCCGACCUGAGAGGGUGAUCGGCCACACUGGAACUGAGACACGGUCCAGACUCCUACGGGAGGCAGCAGUAGGGAAUCUUCCGCAAUGGGCGAAAGCCUGACGGAGCAACGCCGCGUGAGUGAUGAAGGGUUUCGGCUCGUAAAACUCUGUUAUUAGGGAAGAACAAAUGUGUAAGUAACUGUGCACGUCUUGACGGUACCUAAUCAGAAAGCCACGGCUAACUACGUGCCAGCAGCCGCGGUAAUACGUAGGUGGCAAGCGUUAUCCGGAAUUAUUGGGCGUAAAGCGCGCGUAGGCGGUUUCUUAAGUCUGAUGUGAAAGCCCACGGCUCAACCGUGGAGGGUCAUUGGAAACUGGGAAACUUGAGUGCAGAAGAGGAAAGUGGAAUUCCAUGUGUAGCGGUGAAAUGCGCAGAGAUAUGGAGGAACACCAGUGGCGAAGGCGACUUUCUGGUCUGUAACUGACGCUGAUGUGCGAAAGCGUGGGGAUCAAACAGGAUUAGAUACCCUGGUAGUCCACGCCGUAAACGAUGAGUGCUA
rnacentral:rRNA from 2 species